rnacentral:rRNA from 1 species
GCGAACUGCGUGCCAGCAGCCGCGGUAAUACGAAGGGUGCAAACGGUGGUCGGAAUGAUUGGGCGGAAAGCGCACGGAGGCGGCUUUGCAAGGCGGAUGUGAAAUCCCUCGGCUUAACCAAGGAAGUGCAUCCGAAACUGCAGAGCUUGAGUACGAAAGAGGAGCGCGGAAUUCCCGGUGUAGAGGUGAAAUUCGUAGAUAUCGGGAGGAACACCAGUGGCGAAGGCGGCGAUCUGGGUCGAUACUGACGCUGAGGUGCGAAAGCGUGGGGAGCAAACAGGUUUAGAUACCCUAGUAGUC